AUAGAUGUGUGCAUCUGUGUCUGCUGCAGCCCCGCUUGCCACAGGACAGACUUCGAUCUAGUUCAAUAUGAGUCUCGUGAGCUACAACCCAAGUAGCCUAGGAGCUGCUUAAGAAAAGAAUGUCCUGCAUUACACACAGGUUGGACACAACAGGGGCACAGCCAGCACUGGGUAUUAUCCCGAAGGACCUAAGAGCCACAGAUGCCUCCUGAA